rnacentral:rRNA from 1 species
GACGAACCGUGCGAACGUUGUUCGGAAUCACUGGGCUUAAAGGGCGCGUAGGCGGCUUGCCAAGUCAGGGGUGAAAUCCAGCAGCUUAACUGUUGAAGUGCCUUUGAUACUGGCGAGCUCGAGGGAGGUAGGGGUAUGCGGAACUUCUGGUGGAGCGGUGAAAUGCGUUGAUAUCAGAAGGAACGCCGGUGGCGAAAGCGGACGUACUGGACCUCUUCUGACGCUGAGGCGCGAAAGCCAGGGGAGCAAACGGG